GUGCUCGCUUUGGCAGCAUAUAUACUAAAAUUUGAAUGAUACACAGAAGAUAAGCACGGCUCCUGCGCAAGGAUACCACACAUAUUUGUGAAACAUUCCAUAAUUUU